rnacentral:rRNA from 1 species
UAACAAGGAUUCCCCUAGUAACUGCGAGUGAAGCGGGAAAAGCUCAAAUUUAAAAUCUGGCGGUUUUACCGUCCGAGUUGUAAUCUGGAGAAGCGUUUUCCGCGCCGGACCGUGUACAAGUCUCUUGGAAUAGAGCGUCAUAGAGGGUGAGAAUCCCGUCCAUGACACGGACUACCGGUGCUCUGUGAUACGCUCUCGAAGAGUCGAGUUGUUUGGGAAUGCAGCUCAAAAUGGGUGGUAAAUUCCAUCUGAAGCUAAAUAUUGGCGAGAGACCGAUAGCGAACAAGUACCGUGAGGGAAAGAUGAAAAGCACUUUGGAAAGAGAGUUAAACAGUACGUGAAAUUGUUGAAAGGGAAACGCUUGAAGUCAGUCGCGUCUUGCAGGACUCAGCCUUGCUUCGGCCUGGUGUACUUCCUGUAGGACGGGUCAACAUCGAUUUCGAUCCGGCGGACAAAGGAUUAGGGAAUGUGAUAUCCUUUCGGGGAUGUGUUAUAGCCCUUUUUCGUAUACGCCGGUUGGGAUUGAGGACCGCAGCGCGCCUUUAAUGGCCGGGGGUUAAACCCACGUACCGCGCUUAGGAUGUUGGCAUAAUGGCUUUAAGCGACCCGUCUUGAAACACGGACCAAGGAGUCUAACAUGCUUGCGAGUGUUAGGGUGGAAAACCCUUGCGCGUAAUUAAAGUGAAAGUUGGGAUCCUCCGCAAGGGGGUGCACCGACGCCCGGCCCUGAAGUUUACGGACGGUGCUGCGGUAGAGCACGUAUGUUGGGACCCGAAAGAUGGUGAACUAUGCCUGAAUAGGGCGAAGCCAGAGGAAACUCUGGUGGAGGCUCGUAGCGAUUCUGACGUGCAAAUCGAUCGUCAAAUUUGGG